rnacentral:rRNA from 1 species
UACAGAGGUCUCAACCGUUGUUCGGAUUCAUUGGGCGUAAAGGGUGCGUAGGCGGUCGCGCAAGUCGGAUGUGAAAUCUCAGGGCUCAACCCUGAAUACUGCAUUCGAUACUGCGUGGCUAGAGUGCUGGAGAGGAGACUGGAAUUUACGGUGUAGCAGUGAAAUGCGUAGAUAUCGUAAGGAAGACCAGUGGCGAAGGCGAGUCUCUGGACAGCAACUGACGCUGAGGCACGAAGGCCAGGGGAGCAAACGGG